rnacentral:rRNA from 1 species
AUUGAACGCUGGCGGCAGGCUUAACACAUGCAAGUCGAGCGGAGAUGAGGUGCUUGCACCUUAUCUUAGCGGCGGACGGGUGAGUAAUGCUUAGGAAUCUGCCUAUUAGUGGGGGACAACAUUCCGAAAGGAAUGCUAAUACCGCAUACGUCCUACGGGAGAAAGCAGGGGAUCUUCGGACCUUGCGCUAAUAGAUGAGCCUAAGUCGGAUUAGCUAGUUGGUGGGGUAAAGGCCUACCAAGGCGACGAUCUGUAGCAGGUCUGAGAGGAUGAUCCGCCACACUGGGACUGAGACAAGGCCCAGACUCCUACGGGAGGGAGCAGUGGGGAAUAUUGGACAAUGGGGGGAACCCUGAUCCAGCCAUGCCGCGUGUGUGAAGAAGGCCUUAUGGUUGUAAAGCACUUUAAGCGAGGAGGAGGCUACUGAGACUAAUACUCUUGGAUAGUGGACGUUACUCGCAGAAUAAGCACCGGCUAACUCUGUGCCAGCCGCCGCGGUAAAAC